CUUCAGCUCAGCAGACCGUGGUGGGUGUGGUCAGGACAGGAGGGCGGUGUGGUCAGAAGACGUUCGCACACUCUGCAUCUGUGACUUCGCCAGUAACAUUGUGUGGGAGGCUGUUCUGUCCAGGGCGUGUGUCCUGGUAACUGGGAGGGUGAUAUCUGGUGAAAUGUCUGGCUUGGCUGUGAGUUGUCUGGUGCAUGGUGGGAGAUGGUGUGGUGACAUGGCUGGUGUGACUUUGUUGAAGGGCUGUAGAUCUGGGAAGACCCAGGAGGGCAUGGGCUCUUCAGUUUAUUUAUGGUUUCAAUCUUCGGAUGAACAAAUUGAAACCAUAAAUAAAAAUAUAUUUUUCAUCUUUUGAACAACAAACACGUUUAAAGAACAACCCACGGUCAUGGAAGCGUGCUUGGGGUUAUUUGCCGGGUACCAGGCAGCGGUCAUGAUACCGUGGACUGAAACAGCGUGACCGCAAGACGGCCUCACAACAUCGAAGAUCCACCGGGAUCCAGGCUCCAAAUGCAACAACGCUGAAAUGAAAAGUCAACUGUAAAAACAUGUCAUUACUCUUGACAGAUGUGGCAUCCUCCAUCGAGGCCAACUUGAAGGGCCGCCCGCCGAGAAGAAAAGAAAACCUUGGAAUCUAAUUUUAUGACAAAACGUCAAGUUGACCCGAGGGGCGUGACCCCGCCCCAAGUCGUAUUUUCAGCAGCUUGUAAUGGCGCCACCUUCUGGACAGUCAUUGUCAACGUUUAACAAUGGAUGAGACAGGGUCAGCGCGGUGGCGUUAGCGCAAGCGAGCGCGUGUCCAGACAGAGACGGGUCGGAAGCAGGCGUGUUUUGACCUUUGGCAGAAGCCCUGACUGCCAAGGUCUAGAGAGGAAGCCUCUCCCGCAGCUUCCUGUGUUACUUCCUGUGAUACCCCUGGUAUCCUGAGCUUCCCUGUCUUUAACUAGCACUUAGUGUAGAUUGUUUUUGCCUUGUCCCCCCAGGGAAGCAUGUGGUUUUCAUUUAACUACAAGAGGGUUAAAAGUAAACACUGAAAACUGAUUAUCACAAAUAGGCUUGAACGUCCUUUGUUAGAGUGGAAUUUUGUGAAACCACAUUUCCCAUGAGGUUGGGUUUUAACUGAUCACCAUGUUAGUCAUAUUGACCAUGCAACUGGGAGUUUGACAAUAUCAUCAAUGUGAAUGUUCUCAUUGCUUUCAUAUUAACUAAUCACUAACUAUCAAAGAGAUGCCUGAUGAGUAUUAUGUCAUUACCUUUCAGUAUAUAGUAAGCAUGACCGACAACACGUUUCAACCAUGACAAAUGUACCAAUUUGUUGUUUUCUUAAAG
ensembl:lncRNA